AACCCAGGGCUCAAACCAAGAGAAGACAUUCAGAGCUAUUCAUUCUUUAAAGUCCAUUUAACAAGUUUCCUUCUGCUUCUGAGUUCAAAGAGCUUUUUCUCAUCCCCGUCCUGGAGCGCCCCUACAGCUGCCUGUUUGGUACAUUCCUCUACAGCAGUGAGCAGGAGAGAAUGGAAAAGGUACGCUCCACAUUUCUCCACUAAUGGGCGGAGGCUUUCCAGCCUGUCUGAUUUUUCUGAAUGGAAAUGAAUUUGUCUAAGUGUCUUAUGACUUCUCUCUCUGUCUCUCUCUCUCUUUUGUUUUUAGGAAGUACAGGGUAGAACGGUCACUGUGGUCCUACAUUAAGUCAGCCGGAGGACUUCACUAACCCGUUCUAUGUGGACUGUAAAAACCAGGUGCUGUAUCCACUGGCCAGUCUCACACAUCUGGAGCUCUGGGUGGGUUAUUAUGUGCGCUGGAACUCACGCAUGAGACCACAGACGCCGCUCCAUCAGAAUUUGAGAGAGUUAUUGUUUUUGCGUGAAGAACAUGGAGGAGCUCCAGAGAGAGGCCACGUCAUCCUGCUCCAUCUCCUCAUCCUCAGAGCAUACUUCUCCCUCCUCACAUAGUGGUACACCACUUCACACUGCCGUCUAAAUACACACGCGCACACACACACAUACAUACAUUUAAGAGCACAUACUGUCUUUACUCAAUGAAUACACUCGGGCACAAGUAGGGAGUGGAUGAGUAUGAAGCGGGCACACACACACACACACACACACACACACACACACACACACACACACACACACACACACAUUCCUGUUUGCAAUUUUUUUUUUAACUAUAGAGAAGUAACCUAGUGUCACAUUUUAUAAAUCCUUAAUACUUAAAAAUGGAUCUUGGAAUGAUAGUCAGCAUGUCUGCAGCAUGAACUCACAGUAUUUAUAAUCUAGUAUUUGACCUGUAAAUAUGUAAAAAAGAGAAGUAUUAAUAUAUUUGUCCUUACACGUCAUGUUCAUCUUUCCCUGUGGCCUCAUUUGCUCCUCUGUGCCAACUCCCUUUCAUCUUUUAACAUUUCAAUACAGUUUUUAGCUACUUGAAGUUUUUUGUUUGUUUUUUCCCCCCAAGGUGAAUCAUCCAUCUAUUUUUGUAUUUUAUUAGUUACUUUCCAUUUUAUGUCCGCUCUGUCAUCACACUGAAGCGUGAUAGUUAUGUCAGUAUUAUUCAUUUCUCACAGACUUGCCUUUCACCUUGCUAAUAUA